rnacentral:misc_RNA from 1 species
UGCUUGUGCGCUUCAAAGGAGCUUCAGGAAAGGGAACCGAAAAAAAGAGGUGAAAAAAAAUAAGCAACAGAAACAACAGGGCAAGAUAUGAUGAAAUUAUAAACUGGCCUCAAUCCCAAACUAGAAGAAAUGGUAAUAAAACAAGAAACACAGGGUGAAGAAAAGAAAGAAACCAGUAGUUUUCAACAAACAACCUGCCAUCACACGAGCUCAUAUUUAACAUGAAAACAAGAUAAAAUGACGGUUCACUAGUAUCUCUUCAAAUAAGCACAAUCAUCAGCACUUAAUGUAAUUGAACAUUUAAGUACCUACCUACAUCUAUAUGAAAUCUCUAUGAUGCAUGGGGAUGAGACAGCUCUCUGUUUCCAUGUUUACAAAAUAAUGCAAAAAGAAUUGAAAGAAAGCCAACUUCACUGCUUAGAUACAAGUUACAACAUUCUUUAAAGGUUAAUGGAAUGGAACGCAUAUAUCUUCCAAAAAGUAAAUUUCCAGGAAAGAACCUG